GGAUUAACGCUGGCGGCGUGCAUAACACAUGCAAGUCGAACGAUGAAACUUAAAUGCUUUCUUCGGAAUGAACUUAAGUGGAUUAGUGGCGGACGGGUGAGUAACGCGUGAGUAACCUGCCUUACACAAGGGGAUAGCCGUUGGAAACGACGAAUAAUACCCUAUGAAACUAUCACUUCGCAUGAAGCGAUAGUCAAAGUGUUAGCGGUGUAAGAUGGACUUGCGUCUGAUUAGCUAGUUGGUGAGAAAAAAGCCCACCAAGGCAACGAUCAGUAGCCGGCUUGAGAGAGUGUACGGCCACAUUGGGACUGAGACACGGCCCAGACUCCUACGGGAGGCAGCAGUGGGGAAUUUUGCACAAUGGGGGAAACCCUGAUGCAGCGACGCCGCGUGAUUUAGAAGGCCUUCGGGUUGUAAAAAUCUUUUGUAUAGGAAGAAAAUGACAGUACUAUACGAAUAAGGUCCGGCUAAUUACGUG
rnacentral:rRNA from 1 species